CUUUCUCUCUAUAUCUAAAAACAAAAGGAAGUUUCUUUCAUCCAACCUGCAAACUAACUUGGGUUGGUAAGAUUUCAAAUGAGGACUCUAGGAACCCUACCAUUUCCCACACCAAUUCAGUUAUUACUAUACCAGACAGGAAAGAAGAGAUGUUGCAGAUUCAGUUGAACUUUUAGAAAACUAUUACAUGUUAUUGUUAAGUAAGGUAAUCCCACAUUUUUUAAGAUUGGAUCUGAUCAAAAUCCCCUCCCAAGCAGCUUCCCAAGAUAACGUAACAAGAAUUUUUGUUUAUAUAUAUUUAACUAUUGGUACAAUUGAACCCUUAAUUCACAUCCUACCCAAAUGUUGAUCCUACCACAGUACCAAUGUGGUAAAGCAUACUGAAAAAACAGACUUAAAGUAGAUCACUAAAAGUACUUUGCAUACC
rnacentral:misc_RNA from 1 species